GCCUGGGUGGCUCAAUCGGUUAAGCGUCUGACUUCAGCUCAGGUCAUGAUCUCCCAGUCUGUGGGUUCGAGCCCUGUGUCGGGCU
rnacentral:tRNA from 1 species